GACGAACGCUGGCGGCGUGCUUAACACAUGCAAGUCGAACGAUGAACCACUUCGGUGGGGAUUAGUGGCGAACGGGUGAGUAACACGUGGGCAAUCUGCCCUUCACUCUGGGACAAGCCCUGGAAACGGGGUCUAAUACCGGAUAACACUGCCACGGGCAUCUGUGGUGGUUAAAAGCUCCGGCGGUGAGGGAUGAGCCCGCGGCCUAUCAGCUUGUUGGUGAGGUAAUGGCUCACCAAGGCGACGACGGGUAGCCGGCCUGAGAGGGCGACCGGCCACACUGGGACUGAGACACGGCCCAGACUCCUACGGGAGGCAGCAGUGGGGAAUAUUGCACAAUGGGCGAAAGCCUGAUGCAGCGACGCCGCGUGAGGGAUGACGGCCUGG
rnacentral:rRNA from 1 species